rnacentral:rRNA from 1 species
UACGUAGGGACCAAGCGUUGUCCGGAAUCAUUGGGCGUAAAGAGCGUGUAGGCGGCUUGUUAAGUCUUGCGUGAAAUCUCGGGGCUCAACCCCGAGCGGUCGUGAGAAACUGGCAGGCUAGAGUGCGGGAGAGGAGAGUGGAAUUCCUGGUGUAGCGGUGAAAUGCGCAGAUAUCAGGAAGAACACCCGUGGCGAAGGCGGCUCUCUGGAACGCAACUGACGCUGAGACGCGAAAGCCAGGGGAGCGAACGGG